UCACUCACGCAGCAGUGCAGCACACACUCUCAUCCUCACUCAACAUACACAAACACGAAAGAGAGAAGAAAUCAGAGGGAGAAGGAAAGGAAAGAAAGAGAGGACGACGCCGUCUAGGGCUCCGCCGCCGUCGCCGUUGUCGUCGAGCGCCAGUGAGAGAGAGAGCUCGAGGAUGAGAGGAAACGCGAUGGAGGAGAGAAAAAGGAGGUGCUCCGUCGCCGCUGAAACUCCACCACCACUGCUAGGGCUUGUUUCAGUCGCCGUUCUGCCACCGUCGGGCUUCUGUGCCCCCGCCGAGGAGCUCGAAGGGAGGAAGGAUGGAUGUAUCGCCGCCUUUGUGCUCUGUCGCGGCGCUGCCGUCAGCUGGAGCUCGCCGCUGAGCUGCUGCACCACCUCCAAGCCGUUGCGUCGCCGCUCAUCUCUUCACUGUCACUGCUCAACACCAUCGUCGUAUCCUCUGUCACCAGUUCAAAGGUGUGUAUGAUUUUGAUAGUGAUGAUGAACUGCAAUGGCUAAUUGAGAUACAGAAGCAAUAGGUGCUGGAAAUUUCAUACGUGCAUGCUAAACUAGGGAAAUCAUUCUGUAGGAAAGUGUCGAUUUCUCUGCUUCUUUUCUUCCUUCUUAAUACCUUUCAUUGAUUGUAAUUAUGUAGAUUUCGAUUUUCAAUUUUGCAGUUUAUCUCCUUUUGUUUUUCAGCAAAUCGUUGAUCAAACAAUCAAGGAAUCGGAUCAAUGUGAUAAGGAGAAAGAGAAAUUCAGCAAAGAAGUUUCUUAAGCAAGACACCAUUGAUUUGCUUGCGAAUCAUUUACAGUAUUGAAACUGUUCAAGUGGAUUUGGCAUGUUAUCACACAAGGCUGUGCACCUGAUUCAAGGCAUAAACGAGCAAAA